rnacentral:rRNA from 1 species
UACAGAGGUCCCGAGCGUUGUUCGGAUUCAUUGGGCGUAAAGGGUGCGUAGGCGGCGGGGUAGGUCUGAUGUGAAAUCCCGGGGCUCAACCCCGGAACUGCAUUGGAUACUGCCUUGCUAGAGUACUGGAGAGGGAACUGGAAUUUACGGUGUAGCAGUGAAAUGCGUAGAGAUCGUAAGGAAGGCCAGUGGCGAAGGCGAGUUCCUGGACAGUUACUGACGCUGAGGCACGAAGGCCAGGGGAGCAAACGGG